rnacentral:lncRNA from 1 species
AAUAAAUAUAUAUUUUUUAUGUAAAAGAACUUUAUUUAUACAAAAUAUGGUAUAUUGUUUUGUAGUAUUAGAAAAUAUUUAUAAAAUUAGAUAGCUAUGAAAAUGAGGGGUAUACCGAUUUUUUAUGAAAAAAGGGCCACAGACAAAGUUUGGAAACUACUGCUCUAAAGAAUUCUCCAUUAUGGGUAUGUAUGAUAUGAGAUCAACUACAGGCAUACCUCACUUUACAGCACUCUGCUUUACAGUGCUUUACAAUUAUAAAAUAAAAAUAUGGAAUAUAUAUCAAAAGAAAAAUUGUCUGCAAUUAAUCACAAAAUACUUAGAAUAGGUGUAUAAAACAUAAUAUAUAGGCCCAGAUAUACCUUGAAAAACUGGAAGUACAAGAUCUGGUAUUGAACUUGGCCUUGAAAGUGGUGAGCAAAUACUUUACAAUGCAUCCAUCUACCUAUGUUUUUUUUAGAUCUACUAAAAAAUAUUUACAUUGUCAUUAAGUGUGCUAUUGCAUACCUUAAAAACAUAAUUUAAUAUUAUUUAUUGGCUUUUAUAUGCACUAGUAGAUGAAAAAAUGAUGUGAUUUGCUUUAUAGCAUUGGUCUGGUAUAUAAUAGCUGUAAAAUUGCAAGGUAUGCCUGUAAGAGAAAUGUCCUAUAAUGUUGGGUUUUUAAAGUUUCAAACAUUUAUAAUUCACUAGCAAUGCUGCAAAAUAAAACUUUAUUCAAAUAUUAAAAAUAAAAUGCAGUAGGCUCCCUACUUAUGUAAUUAAUUUGUUUCAAAAAUUUGUAAAAUCACAUUAAGUCCAAUAAUGCUUAUAUUCGAAAUAUUUAUAUAAAUAUGCAUAUUGCUAAAUAGUAUGGCU